rnacentral:lncRNA from 1 species
GAUGAAUUGUCGUCAUCAAGGUUUACAAUUCAGUUAAGAAGUAAAUUACAUAAUUGUCAAAACUUAAUUGUUUUUAAAGAAGACAAUUUUCAGCAGCUGUGAAUCUUGUUUGAACACGACAAACAUUAACCGCGAAGGGACGUGAAACCACAAUGCAGGAGUUUACUUAAUUGUUUACGUAAUAACUGCAUAUAAAAGCUUCAAGCCGGCAUAUGUUUCUUUAAUAGACGUUCACAGAGUAAACAGUUGCAUUUGCUAAAA